AGCACCACGCGCAUGCUACACCGCCAUGUUACAGCAACACCCCAACGUAACGCACAUUAUAAAAAUGGGAAAAAGAUAAAAAUCUUAAAAAAUGGAAUUUUACCGUAGCAUUAUAAUUUUAAAGGAUUAAAAUUUGUAAAAUCCAUUUGAAAAGAUUCGAUUAUUAUUGGUAAAUUUGCGUCCCACUUGGCAACACCGUGAACAAUGACGUCAUCACAUGUGCGGUGCGCGACCCCCAACUAACACCUAACACGGUCUAGCUAAUAUUGUAUAAAUUGGAUUGUAAAUUUGUUUUGAUUUUGAUUGAUUCGGUAUUAUAGAUGUAUAAGUAUUUUG